rnacentral:rRNA from 1 species
GUGGCUUAAUUCGACGCAACGCGAAGAACCUUACCAAGGCUUGACAUAUACCGGAAAGCAUCAGAGAUGGUGCCCCCCUUGUGGUCGGUAUACAGGUGGUGCAUGGCUGUCGUCAGCUCGUGUCGUGAGAUGUUGGGUUAAGUCCCGCAACGAGCGCAACCCUUGUUCUGUGUUGCCAGCAUGCCCUUCGGGGUGAUGGGGACUCACAGGAGACUGCCGGGGUCAACUCGGAGGAAGGUGGGGACGACGUCAAGUCAUCAUGCCCCUUAUGUCUUGGGCUGCACACGUGCUACAAUGGCCGGUACAAUGAGCUGCGAUGCCGCGAGGCGGAGCGAAUCUCAAAAAGCCGGUCUCAGUUCGGAUUGGGGUCUGCAACUCGACCCCAUGAAG